UACAGAGGUCUCAAGCGUUGUUCGGAUUCAUUGGGCGUAAAGGGUGUGUAGGUGGCGCCGUAAGUCGGGGUGUGAAAUUUCGGGAGCUUAACUCCGAAACUGCAUUCGAUACUGCGGUGCUUGAGGACUGGAGAGGAGACUGGGAAUUCAUGGUGUAGCAGUGAAAUGCGUAGAGAUCAUGAGGAAGACCAGUGGCGAAGGCGGGUCUCUGGACAGUUCCUGACACUGAGACACGAAGGCCAGGGGGAGCAAAACGGGG
rnacentral:rRNA from 1 species